rnacentral:rRNA from 1 species
GACAGAGGAUGCAAGCGUUGUCCGGAAUUAUUGGGCGUAAAGCGCGCGCAGGCGGUCCUUUAAGUCUGAUGUGAAAGCCCACGGCUCAACCGUGGAGGGUCAUUGGAAACUGGGGGACUUGAGUGCAGGAGAGAAGAGUGGAAUUCCACGUGUAGCGGUGAAAUGCGUAGAGAUGUGGAGGAACACCAGUGGCGAAGGCGGCUUACUGGACUGUAACUGACGUUGAGGCUCGAAAGCGUGGGGAGCAAACAGG